UGCUUACCUCUCUUUUAACAUAUCAACUCUUUCCAUCUUAUUUCAUUACUCGCGCUUUGCACAGAGAAUAUGAAUAUAAUUAAUAUUUCAACUUAUAUACUUAAGCUGUAAGGUCGAAGUCAAGUUGCACAAGAACAUUCAUGACCACACAUCUCUCUACUCUCUCUCUCUCUAUCUAUAUAUAUAUAUAUAUAUAUGUCAUGUUUUCUUACUGUUCUUUUUUAUGGUUUGUCUUUGGAUAGCUAUCGGUGGCUUCUCCACCCACCAACGAUCACUCUAGUGCCCUUUAUGGCUUCUUCUUUGUUCUUUUUUGUUAAUCUCUCUGUUGUAGAUUCUCUUUUUUAGUGCCCUUGAUUGGGCUUGUUGAUGGGUACUUUCAUGUUGUUUUAUUGCAAGGUUUUUACUUAUUCGUUCGAGUAUGUAGGGCGAUGUCUGCCUUCAUAGCCUAUAAAUGUCCUUUGAGGGUUCAUCUUUUGAUGGAUGUGGAUUCAACAUCUCUUAGUUGGUGGUCAAGCCAUUAAUAGUGCGUCAAGCUAUCUCUACCUUUUUUGAAAUUCUAUGAUGUUUGUGCUUCGCAGAAGGUAAGCCCUACGCUUUUAUUGCUAAGACUCAAAGACUAGAGACACAAAAGAGACCUGGUAUUGCAGAGGAUAGUGUUGGUGUUACCUGGCUUCAACUGUCUUUGAAGUGCUUGGGAAAGAAGGUGGACUUUUUUGGAGACAAGUUGUGUAGUCAGGGACUUGAUAGCAUGUUUGAAUUGAAAGUAGGCCUCGAUGUGGUUUGCUUCUUGCGCUUUAAGUCUGGAUUACUGGGUUUUAUGGAUCUUAAACCCUUGUGUAAAACCUUUUCUGUACGUUCUUGCUUGGGCCUUUAGCCCUGUUGUUCUUGGUAGGGAUGAACCCCUUUUCUGCAAUAUGAUCUCGGUGUGUAUUUUUUUCUGGCCGUUAGGCCCUUUAAUACCAACAGUUCCUCUUCAAGGCCACUCUUCUGUUUGCGAAGCUGCUUUUGGCAUGGCAUGGGCUUUUCUAGGUCAAGGAGGAACAAAAUCUUAGAAUAUGUACGGAGAAUAAUGCAAAAAUCUGAAAAUGUUUCACAUAAAGCUUGGAGUGGAAACUAGUAUCAUAUCA